rnacentral:rRNA from 1 species
CAUUUACGGAGAGUUUGAUCCUGGCUCAGGACGAACGCUGGCGGCGUGCUUAACACAUGCAAGUCGAACGAUGAAGCCCAGCUUGCUGGGUGGAUUAGUGGCGAACGGGUGAGUAACACGUGAGUAACC